rnacentral:rRNA from 1 species
AUUGAACGCUGGCGGCAGGCCUAACACAUGCAAGUCGAACGAGUGGCGGACGGGUGAGUAAUGCUUGGGAAUCUAGCUUAUGGAGGGGGAUAACUACGGGAAACUGUAGCUAAUACCGCGUACCAUAGGAUGAGCCCAUGUGGGAUUAGGUAGUUGGUGGGGUAAAGGCUCACCAAGGCGACGAUCUCUAGCUGGUCUGAGAGGAUGACCAGCCACACUGGGACUGAGACACGGUCCAGACUCCUACGGGAGGCAGCAGUGGGGAAUAUUGCGCAAUGGGGGCAACCUGACGCAGCCAUGCCGCGUGAAUGAAGAAGGCCUUCGGGUUGUAAAGUUCUUUCGGCGGGGAGGCGUUACCUACAGAAGAAGCACCGGCUAACUCCGUGCCAGCAGCCGCGGUAAUAC